GAUGAACGCUGGCGGCGUGCCUAAUACAUGCAAGUCGAGCGGAAGGACGAUAAGCUUGCGUCUCUGAUGUUAGCGGCGGACGGGUGAGUAACACGUGGAUAACCUACCUAUAUGACUGGGAUAACUUCGGGAAACCGGAGCUAAUACCGGAGGAUAUUUUGAACCGCAUGGUUCAAAAGUGAAAGACGGCCUUUCUGUAUGUAAUAGCUGGUUCCGCGCUGCAUUAGCUAGUUGGUAAGUUAACGGCUUACCAAGGCAACGAUGCGUGGCCGAGGUGAGAGGGUGAUCGGCCACACUGGAACUGAGACACGGUCCAGACUCCUACGGGAGGCAGCAGUAGGGAAUCUUACGCAAUGGGCGAAAGCCUGACGCAGCAACGCCGCGUGAGUGAUGAAGGUCUUCGGAUCGUAAAACCCUGUUAUUAGGGAAGAACAUAUGUGUAAGUAACUGUGCACAUCUUGACGGUACCUAAUCAGAAAGCAACGGCUAACUACGUG
rnacentral:rRNA from 1 species